UGCCAGUAGUCAUAUGCUUGUCUCAAAGAUUAAGCCAUGCAUGACUAAGUAUAAGCAAUUAUACCGCGAAACUGCGAAUGGCUCAUUAUAUAAGUUAUCGUUUAUUUGAUAAUACUUUACUACUUGGAUAACCGUGGUAAUUCUAGAGCUAAUACAUGCUAAAAAUCCCGACUUCGGAAGGGUUGUAUUUAUUAGAUUAAAAACCAAUGCCCCUCGGGGCUCUCUGGUGAAUCAUGAUAACUAGUCGAAUCGACAGGCCUUGUGCCGGCGAUGGCUCAUUCAAAUUUCUUCCCUAUCAACUUUCGAUGUUUGGGUCUUGUCCAAACAUGGUGGCAACGGGUAACGGAGGGUUAGGGCUCGACCCCGGAGAAGGAGCCUGAGAAACGGCUACUACAUCCAAGGAAGGCAGCAGGCGCGCAAAUUACCCAAUCCCGACACGGGGAGGUAGUGACAAUAAAUACUGAUACAGGGCUCUUUUGGGUCUUGUAAUCGGAAUGAGUACAAUUUAAAUCCCUUAACGAGGAACAAUUGGAGGACAAGUCUGGU
rnacentral:rRNA from 1 species